UGGGGAAUAUUGGACAAUGGGCGAAAGCCUGAUCCAGCCAUGCCGCGUGUGUGAAGAAGGUCUUCGGAUUGUAAAGCACUUUCAGUUGGGAUGAAGGGCAGUAAGCGAAUAUCUUGCUGUUUUGACGUUACCGUCAGAAUAAGCACCGGUUAACUCUGUUCCAGCAGCCGCGGUAAUACAGAGGUUGCAAGUGUUAAUCGGAAUUACUGGGCGUAAAGCGCGCGUAGGUGGUUCGUUAAGUUGAAUGUGAAAGCCCCGGGCUCAACCUGGGAACGGCAUCCAAAACGGGCGAGCUAGAGGAGGGCAGAGGGUGGUGGGAUUUCCUGUGUAGCCGUGAAAUGCGUAGAAAUAGGAAGGAACAACAGUGGCGAAGGCGACCACCUGGGCUCAUACUGACACUGAGGUGCGAAAGCGUGGGGAGCAAACAGG
rnacentral:rRNA from 1 species